rnacentral:rRNA from 1 species
AUUGAACGCUGGCGGCAGGCCUAACACAUGCAAGUCGAGCGGUAGAGAGAAGCUUGCUUCUCUUGAGAGCGGCGGACGGGUGAGUAAUGCCUAGGAAUCUGCCUGGUAGUGGGGGAUAACGUUCGGAAACGGACGCUAAUACCGCAUACGUCCUACGGGAGAAAGCAGGGGACCUUCGGGCCUUGCGCUAUCAGAUGAGCCUAGGUCGGAUUAGCUAGUUGGUGGGGUAAUGGCUCAACAAGGCGACGAUCCGUAACUGGUCUGAGAGGAUGAUCAGUCACACUGGAACUGAUACACGGUCCAGACUCCUACGGGAGGCAGCAGUGGGGAAUAUUGGACAAUGGGCGAAAGCCUGAUCCAGCCAUGCCGCGUGUGUGAAGAAGGUCUUCGGAUUGUAAAGCACUUUAAGUUGGGAGGAAGGGCAGUAAAUUAAUACUUUGCUGUUUUGACGUUACCGACAGAAUAAGCAUCGGCUAACUCUGUGCCAGCCGCCGCAGUAA